GCCGGAAUGGCGGAACUGGCAGACGCCCGGGACUUAAAAUCCCGUGGUACGAAAGUACCGUACCGGUUCGAUCCCGGUUUCCGGCACCA
rnacentral:tRNA from 1 species